UACAGAGGUCUCAAGCGUUGUUCGGAUUCAUUGGGCGUAAAGGGUGUGUAGGUGGCGCCGUAAGUCGGGUGUGAAAUCUCGGGGCUUAACUCCGAAACUGCAUUCGAUACUGCGGUGCUUGAGGACUGGAGAGGAGACUGGAAUUCAUGGUGUAGCAGUGAAAUGCGUAGAUAUCGUAAGGAAGACCAGUGGCGAAGGCGGGUCUCUGGACAGUUCCUGACGCUGAGGCACGAAGGCCAGGGGAGCAAACGGG
rnacentral:rRNA from 1 species